GACAGUUAGCCGUAUAGAUCAUACCCCACCUUCAGUGGUGGCAUUAGGUAUGCGAUCGUGGUACGAUAGCAUGUCACCACCAGACAGGGUGACUGUAGAUCUGUUGUUGCAGCAUACCAUGACCCUUUUGGCAUUUCAGGUUCCUGCAGGAUUUGUAGACGGGAUGCUAGAGCAUUGGCUACCUAAUAGGCAGGUAUUCCAUUUUGGCACCCAUGAGUUGACUCCUACCUUGGAGGAGUAUGUACGUUUAACAAUGUUGCCCUUAGACAUACCUUGCGUGCAUCUAGCUUUGGGAG
rnacentral:lncRNA from 1 species